AAGUCGUAACAAGGUUUUCGUAGGUGAACCUGCGGAAGGAUCAUUAGUGAAACAUAAGAGUGCUCUUCAUUGAGGCUCGUUUUAACUAUCCAUUACACUUUGUGCAUUUGAAAAACCUUCAUCUCUCAAUUUUGAAGCCUCCGGGUUACAAAAACGAGUUUUGAUUGUAUUAUAUUAUAACCCCUUUGAAUAUUUUGACUUGAUGAUGAUGUAUAAACCUUGAAAUGAAAGAAACAACUUUCAGCAACGGAUUUCUUGGCUCUCGCAUCGAUGAAGAACGCAGCGAAAUGCGAUACGUAAUGUGAAUUGCAGAACUCAGUGAAUCAUCGAAUUUUUGAACGCACCUUGCGCUCUCUAGUUAUUCUGGAGAGCAUGCUUGUUUGAGUGUCGCGAACCUCUCAACCCCGCCAAAGGCUUAACUGACUUUGGUUGUUUGGGCUUGGAUCAUGGUCUCUUGUCGGUACUUGUUACCGACUGGACUGAAAUACAACAAGUUGAUAUAACCUAUUGCGGCUUGACCUGAUGUUGUAAUUUACUCAUCGGAUACGCAAAAGUGUUGAAACGACUUUAACAGAAACCCCUUUAUAAGGCAGACUUCGGUCUCUUUAUUUUAUGACCUCAAAUCAAGUAGGACUACCCGCUGAACUUAAGCAUAUCAAUAAGCGGAGGAAAAGAAACUAACAAGGAUUCCCCUAGUAACGGCGAGUGAAGUGGGAAAAGCUCAACUUUGUAAUCUGGCUGUCUUUGGCAGUCCGAGUUGUAGUCUAGAGAAGUGUUAUCCGCGCAGCCCCUUAUAGAUUUCGGUUGGAAUGCCAAGUCAAAGAGGGUGAGAAUCCCGUAUUUGAUAAGGUGGGCUUGUGCAUUGUGAUACAUUUUCAAAGAGUCGAGUUGUUUGGGAAUGCAGCUCAAAGUGGGUGGUAAAUUCCAUCUAAAGCUAAAUAUUGGCGAGAGACCGAUAGCGAACAAGUACCGUGAGGGAAAGAUGAAAAGCACUUUGGAAAGAGAAUGAAAUAGUACAUGAAAUUGCUGAAAGGGAAACGAUUGAAGUUAGACUUGCGCGGUUGGUAUUCAACCUUGGCUUCGGUCUUGGUGCAUUUGCCUUCCAUUGCAGGCCAGCAUCAGUUUACUUUGCUGUAAAAGGGUUUGAGGAAUGUAGCUUCUUCGGGAGUGUUAUAGCCUCUUUCUGGAUGCAGAAUCGUAGACUGAGGAACGCAGCGCGCCUUUAUUGGCAAAGGUUUUAACCUUCGAGCGCUUAGGAUGCUGGUAGAAUAGCUUUAAACGACC
rnacentral:rRNA from 1 species